rnacentral:rRNA from 1 species
AACGAACGCUGGCGGCAUGCCUAACACAUGCAAGUCGAACGAGACCUUCGGGUCUAGUGGCGCACGGGUGCGUAACGCGUGGGAACCUGCCCUUAGGUUCGGAAUAACUCCCCGAAAGGGGUGCUAAUACCGGAUAAUGUCUUCGGACCAAAGAUUUAUCGCCUUUGGAUGGGCCCGCGUUGGAUUAGCUAGUUGGUAGGGUAAAAGCCUACCAAGGCGACGAUCCAUAGCUGGUCUGAGAGGAUGAUCAGCCACACUGGGACUGAGACACGGCCCAGACUCCUACGGGAAGCAGCAGUAGAGAAUAUUGGACGAUGGGCGAAAGCCUGAUCCAGCAAUGCCGCGUGAGUGAUGAAGGCCUUAGGGUUGUAAAGCUCUUUUACCCGGGAUGAGAAUGACAGUACCGGGAGAAUAAGCACCGGCUAACUCCGUG